rnacentral:sRNA from 1 species
AAACGAAUCCAGCAAAUUCACACACGAGUCGACACGUUGCUCCAGGGUGCCUGCGGUUGUUGAAAACCGCACAUAGGUUGGUGCAAUCGGAUUCGUGGAGGUCUAAC